UACGAAGGGGGCGAGCGUUGUUCGGAAUUACUGAGCGUAAAGGGCGCGCAGGCGGCCCUUGAAGUCAGGCGUGAAAGCCCCGGGCUCAACCUGGGAGGUGCGCUUGAUACUCGAGGGCUUGAGUGCGGGAGAGGAGAGUGGAAUUCCCAGUGUAGAGGUGAAAUUCGUAGAUAUUGGGAAGAACACCGGUGGCGAAGGCGGCUCUCUGGGACGGUACUGACGCUGAGACGCGAAAGCGUGGGGAGCGAACAGG
rnacentral:rRNA from 1 species